GUCGAGCGGUAGAGAGAGCUUGCUUCUCUUGAGAGCGGCGGACGGGUGAGUAAUGCCUAGGAAUCUGCCUGGUAGUGGGGGAUAACGUUCGGAAACGGACGCUAAUACCGCAUACGUCCUACGGGAGAAAGCAGGGGACCUUCGGGCCUUGCGCUAUCAGAUGAGCCUAGGUCGGAUUAGCUAGUUGGUGAGGUAAUGGCUCACCAAGGCGACGAUCCGUAACUGGUCUGAGAGGAUGAUCAGUCACACUGGAACUGAGACACGGUCCAGACUCCUACGGGAGGCAGCAGUGGGGAAUAUUGGACAAUGGGCGAAAGCCUGAUCCAGCCAUGCCGCGUGUGUGAAGAAGGUCUUCGGAUUGUAAAGCACUUUAAGUUGGGAGGAAGAGCAGUUACCUAAUACGUGAUUGUUUUGACGUUACCGACAGAAUAAGCACCGGCUAACUCUGUGCCAGCAGCCGCGGUAAUACAGAGGGUGCAAGCGUUAAUCGGAAUUACUGGGCGUAAAGCGCGCGUACGUGGUUUGUUAAGUUGGAUGUAGAAUCCUCGGGCUCAACCUGGGAACUGCAUUCAAAACUGACUGACUAGAG
rnacentral:rRNA from 1 species